rnacentral:rRNA from 1 species
UAAUACGAAGGUCCCAAGCGUUGUUCGGAAUCACUGGGCGUAAAGCGUGUGUAGGCUGCGCGGAAAGUCAAAUGUGAAAGCCCGGGGCUCAACCUCGGAACUGCAUUCGAUACUCCCGUGCUAGAGUAAUGGAGAGGUAAGUGGAAUUCCUGGUGUAGCAGUGAAAUGCGUGGAUAUCAGGAGGAGCAUCAAUGGCGAAGGCAACUUACUGGACAUUUACUGACGCUCAGACACGAAGGCUAGGGUAGCGAAAGGGAUUAGAUACCCCUGUAGUCCUAGCAGUAAACGGUGCUCGCUUGGUGUGGGAGGAUUCGACCCCUUCUGUGCCGGAGCUAACGCGUUAAGCGAGCCGCCUGGGAAGUACGGUCGCAAGACUA